rnacentral:rRNA from 1 species
AUGAAGCUCGCCCCCUCCAUGGACGUCGUCGACCCAAGCACUGGGAAGCACGGGUGGUCAAGGUGGAGGAGCUCACCGCCGAGAUCGCUGGGGCACUACGCGCUCAAGGCAUCCACAACACCUCCACGUGCUCAAGUCCAGAGCUCGCCGGAGCUUCAGAUCCAGAAGGAGAUACUGGGAGCAAGGUACAGAUCUGGAACUGGAGAUGAAAAAGCAAGGAGCCUUGUACUUCUUCUCACCGGCAGCAGCACGGGCAGGGGACCUCUGCUGAAAGCACACGAGCCGGGGAGCUUCGGGCGGCAACACGAGCAGGGGAGGAGCACCAACUUUCAGAGGAGCAGCAAAUAA